CCUUAAAGAACCUGCCUUUGUAGUGUCCACACAGAUUGUCUGAUGAAUGAUGAAUUUCAAAAUGUACUGUGAAGUGCAUUGUGAAAUUUUGCUCUUUAAAAAUCUGGGUCAAGCUGAAAAUUGAAACGACACACUGUUUAAGUGUGUUCGAGUCUCUCAAAUUUUCGCGACACGAAGAUGUUUUACGAAACAUCUUCGGGUUGUGA
rnacentral:misc_RNA from 1 species